GGUUUUAAAAAUUAUAAUCUUUUCAACAAUAUGUAACAAUAUGUACUAUCUUACACUUUCCGACUAAAAAGAACAGACCAUAAGUCUCUGUAUUACCGGCAUGACAGAUUUUUACUUCGCGUGUCAUUUUUUAUUACUUCAUAACUUUUGAUCCGUUUGAGAACGACACCUUUUUCUUUCAAAAUCGUGUUCUAAGCACCAAAAUACACAACUAUGCAAAGUUUGAGCAAAAUCCAAGUGAUGACGGCCACCAGGAAGGCUUUUUACCAUCUAACUGAUCAUUCUUCAAUUUGUUCAUAAGAAUACUGGUUAUAAUUCUGUCAACAUCAUGCGUUUGUCCAUAAUAAUCAACAAAUAAGCCUUCUGGAUCAACCAAGUAUAUGAUAAUUGAAAUACUAACGAUAUAGUCAUCAUCUUGAUCCUUAGGGCCACUGCUAAAAUAAACUCGGUAUGCUUUGCAUACUUUUGCAACUUGGUCUAUGCUACCUGUGAGACCAAUAAUUUUAUCAGAGAAUUCUUUAAGAUAUUUGUCUACAACAGCAGG